rfam:Trichobilharzia regenti genome assembly, scaffold: TRE_scaffold0012024
GUACUAAUGAAGGGUCCCAAACAAGGACGAAACAGCUGUCUAGUAC